AUGUUCUCCGUGAACAUCGCUCUAAACUCAGGGCUGCAGAGAGGAAAUGGCAUAAAUCAAGAAACUCUACCGACCUCAGUGUGUAUCAGUCUCUCCUCUCUUCCUUCUCUGCAAACGUCUUCACUGCUAAAGCAUCAUACUACCACGACAAAAUUAACAACUGUUGUGACGCUUGGACACUCUUCAAAACCUUCUCUUCUCUUCUUAAUCCGCCUCCUCCUCCUCCUCCAUCGACUCUUACAGCUGGCGACUUUGCAGUUUUCUUCACAAAUAAGACAAGAACCAUCAGCGACCAAUUCUCCACACCGCAGACUGAGGAUAACUUCACAACGACUAAUGCACACUCUCUCUCCUCCUUCUCUCCACUCUCAAAAAAAAAAAAAAAAAAAAAAAAAAAAAAAAAAAAAAAAAAAAAAAAAAAAAAAAAAAAAAAAAAAAAAAAAAAAAAAAAAAAAAAAAAAAAAAAAAAAAAAAAAAAAAAAAAAAAAAAAAAAAAAAAAAAAAAAAAAAAAAAAAAAAAAAAAAAAAAAAAAAAAAAAAAAAAAAAAAAAAAAAAAAAAAAAAAAAAAAAAAAAAAAAAAAAAAAAAAAAAAAAAAAAAAAAAAAAAAAAAAAAAAAAAAAAAAAAAAAAAAAAAAAAAAAAAAAAAAAAAAAAAAAAAAAAAAAAAAAAAAAAAAAAAAAAAAAAAAAAAAAAAAAAAAAAAAAAAAAAAAAAAAAAAAAAAAAAAAAAAAAAAAAAAAAAAAAAAAAAAAAAAAAAAAAAAAAAAAAAAAAAAAAAAAAAAAAAAAAAAAAAAAAAAAAAAAAAAAAAAAAAAAAAAAAAAAAAAAAAAAAAAAAAAAAAAAAAAAAAAAAAAAAAAAAAAAAAAAAAAAAAAAAAAAAAAAAAAAAAAAAAAAAAAAAAAAAAAAAAAAAAAAAAAAAAAAAAAAAAAAAAAAAAAAAAAAAAAAAAAAAAAAAAAAAAAAAAAAAAAAAAAAAAAAAAAAAAAAAAAAAAAAAAAAAAAAAAAAAAAAAAAAAAAAAAAAAAAAAAAAAAAAAAAAAAAAAAAAAAAAAAAAAAAAAAAAAAAAAAAAAAAAAAAAAAAAAAAAAAAAAAAAAAAAAAAAAAAAAAAAAAAAAAAAAAAAAAAAAAAAAAAAAAAAAAAAAAAAAAAAAAAAAAAAAAAAAAAAAAAAAAAAAAAAAAAAAAAAAAAAAAAAAAAAAAAAAAAAAAAAAAAAAAAAAAAAAAAAAAAAAAAAAAAAAAAAAAAAAAAAAAAAAAAAAAAAAAAAAAAAAAAAAAAAAAAAAAAAAAAAAAAAAAAAAAAAAAAAAAAAAAAAAAAAAAAAAAAAAAAAAAAAAAAAAAAAAAAAAAAAAAAAAAAAAAAAAAAAAAAAAAAAAAAAAAAAAAAAAAAAAAAAAAAAAAAAAAAAAAAAAAAAAAAAAAAAAAAAAAAAAAAAAAAAAAAAAAAAAAAAAAAAAAAAAAAAAAAAAAAAAAAAAAAAAAAAAAAAAAAAAAAAAAAAAAAAAAAAAAAAAAAAAAAAAAAAAAAAAAAAAAAAAAAAAAAAAAAAAAAAAAAAAAAAAAAAAAAAAAAAAAAAAAAAAAAAAAAAAAAAAAAAAAAAAAAAAAAAAAAAAAAAAAAAAAAAAAAAAAAAAAAAAAAAAAAAAAAAAAAAAAAAAAAAAAAAAAAAAAAAAAAAAAAAAAAAAAAAAAAAAAAAAAACCCUGGUUACGUGUUCUGUACUAGACUAACUGAGACUUGUCAUAGCACUUGUAUACCGUUGUUGUUCUCUUGUUGA
ensembl:lncRNA